GUGUUCACAUCAGCAGCAAAUGCCUUAAAACUAGAGUAAUACAGAGACAAAUAGCAUGGCCCCUGUGCAAGAAUGACAUGCAAAUCAUGAAUCAUUCUGUAUUUUU